rnacentral:rRNA from 1 species
CGGGGGCUCGGGAGGAGACGGGAGGAGCAUUGAGCGGAAGCCUGAUGCCUAGACGCCGCGUGAGGGUGACGGCCUUCGGGUUGUAAACCGCUUUCAGGAGGGACGAAGCGUUUGUGACGGUACCUGCAGAAGAAGCACCGGCCAACUACGUGCCAGCAGCCGCGGUAAUAUGGCAGGGG